GGUCACAGACGCAAUAGACGAUGAUGCCGGAGAAGACGGCCCCCAUGACAAAAGCCAGGAUGACCGCAAUGGCCAAGAGGGUGACGGGCACGAGCUGGUCAUGGCCUUUGAGAUUUAUCUUCGUGAACUUUUAAGGUGGUAGAAACAGAGAAGCAAAAAACAGCAGGGGAUUCAGCUAUAACUCACACCUUUUAUAUCGUGGAGCUUCCCAAACGUAAGCUCUCCACCCGGUGUUGGGCUCGAACUCACAACCCUGAGGAUCCAGAGUUGCACGCUCAACUGACUGUGCCAGCCAGAGUGAAUACCGUGGAAUAGGCGCCAGCAUUUGUAGCAACGACAUCGACAACACUGGCUUCAUAACACGCUGUUUCCUUGAUGUGUAGAAGAUGAUUUCUGUUACUUAUGCAUAUUUUAGUGCGAGCCGCACUAGGGCCACAUGUGGGGUGACGUUUCUAGGCCGUCCGAUAAAAGGGUCUUUGCACCAAGAUGUGCGUGGAUAA